CUGUAAUCAUGUAACUGUUCGAAAUGGAAUUUGUCACUGAAACACAGUGAGAGGAAAUAGAGGAUUAUUUAACAUCUACUCAUCUCACUUCAAGAUCAGUUUAAAAUUGGAUGUGUUUCGUGAUUUCACGAUGGCAAUCACACGAGGGCCGUAUAUAAGAAAGCAAAAUGAUUUGAUAAAACUGGAGCCUUAGAAAAAUCAUCGAGCAGGACAUAUUGGAGGACAAAAUGUCACCUGUAGCAAGACAAGUAAUGAAGGAAAUGAAGCAGUGUAUCAAAGAUGGCAAUACAGAUGAAAGAAAAGGAACCAAAAAGGUUAUUUCAUGAAGGUACAAGAUGCCACGUGGAGAUCAAGCUUAGAUUUUGUAACUAGCGGCCCAUUAAUUUUCUAAAGUAAAGAGCUUUUGGAAAAAUUCAGAUCAGAAAGCAUGUCUGGGGUCCGAGGCCAAGGUGGGGACCCGCUACUCUAAUUACACGUCUCUUCCCUGACAUCCAUCUAUGGGAAGAGCAGAGUUUUCAAACUAGACUGCAAAUAUAUUCACCUCGCCAGAUGCAUGGAUUGUUGCAUGCUUCCUCAGAAACCCAGUCACUAUCAGAAUUGGGAGUCCAGGCUUGCCUCCAGAAGGAGAAAUGGAGAGGAAGCCUUGGCUCACCACGGCAAUGCAUGAGACAAGCGGUGCAAGAGAUUGUGAAAAGUUCUUACUUUUGGAACACAUUAAUGUUACCUACUGCUAAAAGAAUCUAAUAGAUAUUAAGCCAUUACCAGUUGGAUUGGCUCUUUCAACCUCAUAGCAAAUGAUGGGAUGGAAAGAGAAACAAGUAUUCUCUUCUGUAUUCUUCCUAUUGUGGAGGGAAAUGGAGACAUCUUUGCUUAUGGGAAAGGAAGGUGGAGCUAAGAAGAAAAGAUCUCCUCCAUCCCCCCCCAAAUCACUAAAGAAAACCGGAUUUUACUAUUAUAUAAAUGCAACUAACAUUCUAUUAAAUAUGUCGCUUAAUCUAGAAUGCCAAUAAAGUCAUGUCAAAAUCUU